rnacentral:sRNA from 1 species
UCUACGAAGAAUGUGCCCCAAAAAAGGGCUU